GAUGAACGCUGGCGGCGUGCCUAAUACAUGCAAGUCGAACGAAGGAUACUUCGGUAUCCUUAGUGGCGAACGGGUGAGUAAUACAUAAGCAACCUGCCCCUAUGUCUGGGAUAACUAUUGGAAACGAUAGCUAAUACCGGAUACGAGUAUCUCUGGCAUCUGAGAUACUUAAAAGAUGGGUUACAUCGCAAAGGGAUGGGCUUAUGGCGCAUUAGCUAGUUGGUGAGGUAACGGCUCACCAAGGCGAUGACGCGUAGCCGAUUUGAGAGGAUGAACGGCCACAUUGGGACUGAGACACGGCCCAGACUCCUACGGGAGGCAGCAGUAGGGAAUUUUCGGCAAUGGGCGAAAGCCUGACCGAGCAACGCCGCGUGAGUGAAGACGGCCUUCGGGUUGUAAAGCUCUAUUGAUAGGGAAGAAUGUUACAUAUAGGGAAUGAUAUGUAAGUGACGGUACCUAUCCAGAAAGCCACGGCUAACUACGUGCCAGCCGCCGCAGUAACAC
rnacentral:rRNA from 1 species